UUAACACAUGCAAGUCGAGGGGUAUAGGUUUUCGGACCUAGAGACCGGCGCACGGGUGCGUAACGCGUAUGCAAUCUACCUUUUACAGAGGGAUAGCCCAGAGAAAUUUGGAUUAAUACCUCAUAGUAUUAUUGAAUAGCAUCAUUUUAUAAUUAAAGUCACAACGGUAAAAGAUGAGCAUGCGUCCCAUUAGCUUGUUGGUAAGGUAACGGCUUACCAAGGCAACGAUGGGUAGGGGUCCUGAGAGGGAGAUCCCCCACACUGGUACUGAGACACGGACCAGACUCCUACGGGAGGCAGCAGUGAGGAAUAUUGGUCAAUGGGCGCAAGCCUGAACCAGCCAUGCCGCGUGCAGGAUGAAGCAUCUAUGGUGUGUAAACUGCUUUUGUACGAGAAGAAACACUCCUACGUGUAGGAGCUUGACGGUAUCGUAAGAAUAAGGACCGGCUAACUCCGUGCCAGCAGCCGCGGUAAUACGGAGGGUCCAAGCGUUAUCCGGAAUCAUUGGGUUUAAAGGGUCCCGUA
rnacentral:rRNA from 1 species